UUUAGAUGUUAAAAUUUUAUUUUAAUUAUUAAUAGUUAUGAUCUUGAAAAUUAAAAAAAUUGGCGGUAUUUAAAACUAAUUAGGGGAAUUUGUUUAUAAAACGAUGAUCCACGAGGAAUCUUACUUUGAUUUAUUUAGCUUAUUUAUUUUCGUUAUCAGAAUAUUUUUUAAGAAUUAAAAAUUUUCAAAAAAUUUUAAAAAAUUUUAUUUCAGAUCAAGAUGUAGCUUAUAUUAAAGUUUAAAUGAAUUACAAUAAAUAUAAAAUUUUUGGAUUUAAAUUGAAAUAUUUAUUUGAAAUUGGACUUAAUAGUAAAAUUUAAAAUUAUAUAAAUUUGAAUUUAGAAUUAAAUGUGU
rnacentral:rRNA from 1 species